AUACGAAGGGGGCUAGCGUUGUUCGGAAUUACAGGGCGUAAAGCGUACGUAGGCGGACUGAUCAGUUGGGGGUGAAAUCCCAGGGCUUAACCCUGGAACUGCCUUCAAUACUGUCAGUCUUGAGUUUGGGAGAGGUGAGUGGAAUUCCUAGUGUAGAGGUGAAAUUCAUAGAUAUUAGGAGGAACACCAGUGGCGAAGGCGGCUCACUGGCCCAUUACUGACGCUGAGGUACGAAAGCGUGGGGAGCAAACAGGAUUAGAAACCCCAGUAGUCC
rnacentral:rRNA from 1 species